AACGUAGGUUCCGAGCGUUAUCCGGAUUUACUGGGCGUAAAGCGCGUUCAGGCGGUUUGGCAAGUCGGGCAUGAAAUCCUUCGGCUCAACCGGGGGAGGUUGUCCGAUACUGCUAAACUGGAGGGCAGUAGAGGGUGGUGGAAUUCCCGGUGUAGUGGUGGAAUGCGUAGAGAUCGGGAGGAACACCCGUGGCGAAGGCGGCCACCUGGGCCGACCCUGACGCUGAGGCGCGAAGGCGUGGGGAGCGAACGGG
rnacentral:rRNA from 1 species